rnacentral:ncRNA from 1 species
GGACCUGAUAUCAGACAAGACUACCCGCUGAACUUAAGCAUAUUAAUAAGCGGAGGAAAAGAAACUAACAAGGAUUCCCUCAGUAACGGCGAGUGAAGCGGGAAGAGCUCAAGCUUAAAAUCUCCACCUUGGUGGCGAAUUGUAGUCUAUUGAGGCUGUUGUCAGCAUAGCGACCUGGGACAAGUCCCU